UAGGGAAUCUUCGGCAAUGGACGGAAGUCUGACCGAGCAACGCCGCGUGAGUGAAGAAGGUUUUCGGAUCGUAAAGCUCUGUUGUAAGAGAAGAACGAGUGUGAGAGUGGAAAGUUCACACUGUGACGGUAUCUUACCAGAAAGGGACGGCUAACUACGUGCCAGCAGCCGCGGUAAUACGUAGGUCCCGAGCGUUGUCCGGAUUUAUUGGGCGUAAAGCGAGCGCAGGCGGUUAGAUAAGUCUGAAGUUAAAGGCUGUGGCUUAACCAUAGUACGCUUUGGAAACUGUUUAACUUGAGUGCAAGAGGGGAGAGUGGAAUUCCAUGUGUAGCGGUGAAAUGCGUAGAUAUAUGGAGGAACACCGGUGGCGAAAGCGGCUCUCUGGCUUGUAACUGACGCUAAGGCUCGAAAGCGGGGGGAGCAAACAGGAUUAUAUACCCUGGUAGUCCACGCCGUAAACGAUGAGUGCUAGGUGUUAGACCCUUUCCGGGGUUUAGUGCCGUAGCUAACGCAUUAAGCACUCCGCCUGGGGAGUACGACCGCAAGGUUG
rnacentral:rRNA from 1 species